GACGGGGCCCGCACAAGCGGUGGAGCAUGUGGUUUAAUUCGAUGGUACGCGAGGAACCUUACCAGGGCUUGACAUACGCCGGAAGCGCAUCGAAAGGUGCGUGCCGCUUGCGGCCGGCGUACAGGUGCUGCAUGGCUGUCGUCAGCUCGUGCUGUGAAGUGUUGGGUUAAGUCCCGCAACGAGCGCAACCCCCUGCUGCCUGUUGCCACCACGAGAGGUGGGGACUCAGGCGGGACCGCCGGUGACAAACCGGAGGAAGGUGGGGACGACGUCAAGUCAUCAUGGCCCUUAUGUCCUGGGCUACACACGUGCUACAAUGGCCGGUACAGAGCGCAGCGAGGCCGCGAGGCGGAGCGAAUCGCUUAAAGCCGGUCCCAGUACGGAUUGGAGUCUGCAACCCGACUCCAUGAAGUUGGAAUCGCUAGUAAUCGCGCAUCAGCAUGGCGCGGUGAAUACGUUCCCGGGCCUU
rnacentral:rRNA from 1 species